UGUGGGCCCAGUGACUAAGAGCCUCAGAAUGCCAUAACUGUGGUUAGAUUUGGCAACACGAAGAGGAGGAGGUGGAUGAGGUGCCUUUACUGAAAACACUGCUGCUCUUGCAAAACUACUUUCCUGAGGUCAACAAGGCAUUGACGCAUGUCAUUUGAUGACUUCUGAAUUGAAGAUGUAUGAAAGGAUGGAAAGGUGCCAUGGACCGAUACUGCGCCUCAGCCAGCGUCCUGUCAGCAGGCCAUCAGUGGGACGUCCUGUCAGUGCCCGGAAUGUGAAGGAGAGCAAGAGGAAGAGAGCGAGAGACGGGGGGCAGUGCCAGCUCACCUCAGCAGAAGCAGCGAGAGGGUACGGCACAUUCUGAUCUCGAGCACCACGCCGGCGAGGAGGUGGAGUAUUAGGGCCCUUGUUUACCCAGCAGCCUGUGCAAGACUCCACUCGAUCGCGCUAUAGGAGAAGGUGGGUGGAGACACACAGAAAGCUCCCGCUCUACACCCAGGCCACUGGCCUUCCUCUCUCGCUCGCGCUGCGCAUUCCUGCACGUUGUGCACCGCUUCAGGUUGUUGUGGUUCUUUCUUCCUGGGCGCAUGGGAGAGUCAAGUGAACUGAAGGUGGUGACCUUUUA